ACAAUAUAACUAUCCACACUCGUGUUUGCACACAAGGCUGGUGGUGGUGUGUCGAUCACAUAUCGUCGUCGUCAUUCAUCAUCAUCAUCCUUGUGUGUGUAUUCACACACACUAACAUUCACAAUUGACAACCAAUGGAGAACCAAACAAUAUUAUUAAUUGUUUACAAAAA
rnacentral:misc_RNA from 1 species